AUUGAACGCUGGCGGCAUGCCUUACACAUGCAAGUCGAACGGCAGCACGGGGGCAACCCUGGUGGCGAGUGGCGAACGGGUGAGUAAUGCAUCGGAACGUGCCCAGUCGUGGGGGAUAACGUAGCGAAAGCUACGCUAAUACCGCAUACGAUCUGCGGAUGAAAGCGGGGGACCUUCGGGCCUCGCGCGAUUGGAGCGGCCGAUGUCAGAUUAGGUAGUUGGUGGGGCAAAGGCCUACCAAGCCGACGAUCUGUAGCUGGUCUGAGAGGACGACCAGCCACACUGGGACUGAGACACGGCCCAGACUCCUACGGGAGGCAGCAGUGGGGAAUUUUGGACAAUGGGCGCAAGCCUGAUCCAGCAAUGCCGCGUGCAGGAUGAAGGCCUUCGGGUUGUAAACUGCUUUUGUACGGAACGAAAGGGCUCUGGCUAAUACCUGGAGCUGAUGACGGUACCGUAAGAAUAAGCACCGGCUAACUACGUG
rnacentral:rRNA from 1 species